rnacentral:snRNA from 1 species
GUGCUUGCUUCGGCGCACAUAUACUAAAAUUGGAAUGAUGCAGAGAAGAUGAGCAUGGCCCCUGCGCAAGGAUGAAACACAAAUUCGUGAAGUGUUCCAUAUUUUU